AUACGGAAGGUCCGGGCGUUAUCCGGAUUUAUUGGGUUUAAAGGGAGCGCAGGCGGAGAUGCAAGCGUGACGUCAAAUUUCGGGGCUCAACCCCGUCUCGCGUCGCGAACUGCGUCCCUUGGUUGCGGGAAGGGGAGGCGGAACUCGUGGUGUAGCGGUGAAAUGCAUAGAUAUCACGAAGAACUCCGAUCGCGAAGGCAGCCUUCCGGCCCGUCAACGACGCUCAUGCUCGAAGGUGCGGGUAUCAAACAGGAUUAGAUACCCUGGUAGUCUGCACAGCAAACGAUGGACACCCGCGGUUUGGCCUAUAUGGCUGAGCCGCCAAGCGAAAGCGUUAAGUGUCCCACCUGGGGAGUACGCCGGCAACGGUGAAACUCAAAUGAAUUGACGGGG
rnacentral:rRNA from 1 species